rnacentral:rRNA from 1 species
UACGAAGGGGGCUAGCGUUGCUCGGAAUUACUGGGCGUAAAGGGCGCGUAGGCGGAUCGUUAAGUCAGGGGUGAAAUCCCGGGGCUCAACCUCGGAACUGCCCUUGAUACUGGCGAUCUUGAGUAUGAGAGAGGUAUGUGGAACUCCGAGUGUAGAGGUGAAAUUCGUAGAUAUUCGGAAGAACACCAGUGGCGAAGGCGACAUACUGGCUCAUACUGACGCUGAGGCGCGAAAGCGUGGGGAGCAAACAGG